CACGUAGGGGGCGAGCGUUGUCCGGAUUUAUUGGGCGUAAAGGGCUCGUAGGCGGCUCAGUAAGUCGGGUGUGAAACCUCCAGGCUCAACCUGGAGACGCCACUCGAUACUGCUGUGGCUAGAGUCCGGUAGGGGAGCAUGGAAUUCCUGGUGUAGCGGUGAAAUGCGCAGAUAUCAGGAGGAACACCGGUGGCGAAGGCGGGUCUCUGGGCCGAUACUGACGCUGAGGAGCGAAAGCGUGGGGAGCGAACAGG
rnacentral:rRNA from 1 species